rnacentral:rRNA from 1 species
AUACGAAGGGGGCUAGCGUUGUUCGGAAUUACUGGGCGUAAAGCGCGCGUAGGCGGAUUGGUCAGUUAGGGGUGAAAUCCCAGGGCUUAACCCUGGAACUGCCUCUAAUACUGCCAGUCUUGAGUUCGAGAGAGGUGAGUGGAAUUCCUAGUGUAGAGGUGAAAUUCGUAGAUAUUAGGAAGAACACCAGUGGCGAAGGCGGCUCACUGGCCCGAUACUGACGCUGAGGCGCGAAAGCGUGGGGAGCAAACAGUAUUAGAAACCCUUGUAGUCC